GGCUCACGUGCGCGGCGCGGGCCGGGCCGGGAGGAGGCGGUGCUGGGGCUUCUCCCGCUUGGCUGCGGCGGAACCGAAAGCGGCGGGCGGGGGAGAGGAAGGAGGGGCGGGCGCGGGGUGCGGUGGCGCGCGGAGGGCCGGGAAUGCCCGCGGCGCAGGGCUCCAGAGCUGCCCGGUGGCCGCGUCCGGGCAAUGGCCCUCCGUCUGGUCUCCGACUUCGAUCUCGGGAAGGACGUGCUCCCGUGGCUGCGGGCACAGCGGGCGGCGUUAGUGGCCGCUGGGGCCGGAGGCGGAGGCCCAGGUGUUUUAGAAAACAAUUAUGAGAGCUUACGUGUACUAAAUGUUGAAAGAAAUGGAAAUAUUAUUUAUACCUAUAAGGAUGAUAAGGGAAAUGUCUUCUUUGGAUUGUAUGAUUACCAGACCAAACAAAAUGAGCAUCUCUAUACAUUUGAGAAAGACUUGCAAGUUGUCAGUUGCUCAGUCAACAGGGAGAGAACUUUGCUGGCUGCAAGUUUAGUUCAAGCUGCUAAAGAGGGAAGAAGGAAUGAGCUUCAACCAGGUUCAAGGUGCUUAACUUUGUUGGUCGAGAUCCACCCCAUUAACAAUGUGAAGGUUCUAAAAGCAGUGGAUAGCUAUAUUUGGGUACAGUUCCUCUACCCACAUGUUGAAGGUCACCCGCUACCAGAGAAUCAUCUGCUACUGAUUUCAGAAGAGAAAUAUAUUGAACAACUUCAUAUCCAAGUUACCCAAGAAGAUGGAAAUAGAGUGGUAAUUAAAAAUUCUGGCCAUCUCCCAAGACAGAGAGUAGCCGAAGAUUUUGUUUGGGCUCAGUGGGAUAUGUCAGAGCAGAGGUUAUACUACAUUGAUCUGAAGAAAUCAAGGAGUGUCUUAAAAUGCAUCCAGUUUUCUGCUGGUGAGCACUUUAGCUUAAUGUUUGAAGCACCCUUGGAUGUAUCAUUAAGUGAUUCAGGAUUCAAACUUGUCAACUUUGGAUAUGAUGAUCUUCAAGACCAAGAGAAAUUAUCCAAACACCCAACCUUGUGUGUUUUUACCAACCAUACAGGAAGUUUGUGUGUAUGUUACUGCCCGAACUUUGACUCUUGGGAGCAAAUCACGUAUUCAGUGCUUUACUUUCAUAAAGGGCACGGCAAGACCUUCACUGCUACUCUUGGGCGUGUUGACUCACGUGUGACAAAGGGCAUUACUUUUCUCAGCCUUGACUAUUAUGUAGCUGUUUACUUGCCUGGUCAUUUCUUUCAUCUACUUAACAUUCAACAUCCAGACCUGAUCUGCCACAGUCUGUUUCUGACAGGAAACAGUGAAGUGAUUGAUAUGCUACCUCAUAGUCCUUUACAGUCACUGUCAGGAUCCCUGGUCCUGGAUUGGGGUUCUGGAAAGCUCUAUAGGGCACUCCUCAACCAGUCAUAUUUAUUGGAGUUCCUGUGGAACACCCGGCUGGACUGCGAGAAGCUGGCCUUGUUGCACUGUGUGCUCUCAUGUGGCCGAGACCCACGGCGACUGGAAGCCAAGAUUAUUCAGUGGAUUUCUGAGAACAUCUCUGCCUGCCAUUCAUUUGACCUCAUUCAGGAAUUUAUAAUUGCUUCUUCAUAUUGGAGCAUCUAUCCAGAGACAAGUAACAUGGAUAAACUCUUGCCAUAUUCCUCACUGCUCACCUGGGAUACAGAAAUUCCUGGAAUAACCCUUGUGACAGAAGAGAUUCCGUUGCCUCUUAUGAAGGUGCAUAGCUUUAAGGGCUACUGGGAAAAACUGAACUCCAACCUGGAAUAUGUUAAGUACUCCAAGCCACACUUACACUAUAACAACAGCGUGGUCAGGAGAGAGUGGCACAGCCUGAUCUCAGAAGAGAAAAAAGGAAAAAGAAGGUCCACGGUGUAUGUGAGAAAUAUUCUUGAUAAUGCAAUAAAGGUGAUUUCUAACCUAGAAGCAAGGAAUUUGGAGCCAAGAUUAACACCCCUCUUCCAGGAGGAAGACAACCACCAGCGGCUGCUUAUGGGCCUGAUGGUGUCUGAGCUAAAAGACCAUCUUUUGAGACAUCUACAGGGUGUAGAAAAGAAGAAAAUUGAACAGAUGGUUCUGGACUACGUUUCAAAACUGCUGGAUCUCAUUUGCCAAAUACUGGAAGCCAGUUGGAGGAAACAUAAUCUUCAUCCCUGGGUUCUCCACUUCAAUAGGCGGGCGAGUGCUGCUGAAUUUGCGGUCUUUCACAUCAUGACCAGGAUUUUGGAAGCUACUAACAGUUUGUUUUUACCUCUGCCUCCUGGUUUUCACACUCUGCACACGAUCCUUGGUGUCCACUGUCUGCCUUUGCAUAACCUGCUGCAUUACAUUGAUAACGGAGUGUUGCUUCUCACAGAAACAGCUGUCACAAGGCUCAUGAAAGAUCUGGACAAUACAGAGAAAAAUGAAAAAGUAAAGCUCAGCAUCAUUGUGCGGCUUCCUCCGCUUACAGGUCAGAAGAUCUGUCGACUUUGGGAUCAUCCUGUGAGUUCUAACAUUAUUUCCCGGAACCAUGUAAAGCAACUGCUUCAGAACUAUAACAAACAGCCCCGGAGUUCUAUGAUGGACAAGUCAUCAUUCAGUGUAGAAUUUCUGCCUCUGAACUACUUCAUUGAAAUACUGACAGAUAUUGAGUCCUCCAAUCCAGCUCUGUAUGCUUUUGAAGGACGUGACAACGUGGACGCAAAAUUUGUAGAGGAAGCAGCUCUGAAACACACCACGAUGCUUUUAGGCUUAUAAAAGGGAAAAUGCAGUUAUAUCAGCUUCCAGUAUUUUUCUCUUGCUCGUUAGCUCUACUUCCGUUGAGAAUUCUUUAGCAAUAGUUUAAACUGGUAACCAAAAUCAGAAUACAUUGUUGAGCCAUCUGAAUUUCAGUUUAGUACUUUGUUCAGACAGAACUAGACAGUCAAGUGUAGAGAAAUGGCAGCCAGUCCAAGGGGGCAUGAAGUGGCCUAAGUGAUGCUCUUCCUAGUGGCUGAUCUUCGUAGCGCUCUCAUAGGCCAAAAGCUAGUUUCUAUCAUACUCUGAAAUAAAAUAUACUUUAAAAAUGUAGGAACAGUGCUUAGAAAAUCAAAAAUUGGCUGUGUCACUGAAAAUAGCAUAUGACAAGCAGAAAAAUUACAAGUUGUAGAAAAACUAUUUUGGAAAUUAGAUACUUUUAAAAAAAACUGAAUUUGGACUAAGUCAAAUCUGCUAAUUCUAGUAGGGAAUAAUUUGCAAAAUACAACAAUUUAUACAUACAUAGAGUAGGAUUUGUCUUCGUGAACGUUCAGAUGGAACUGUAUUUAAUAUUAUAAAGUUAUUUUUAUAUUUAUAAAAGUUUGAUUUAGUAAUAUGUUGUCAUUUAAAAAAACACUGAAAGUUUUAGCCUAACUCCUUUGUUCUUUGAACAUAGCCUUUUAUUCCCACCAAGAAUCAUGACUCCAUGAACAUGUUCCCCCAAAGACCCACAUGACACCUGACGAGUUCUCCCACUUUUCUUUUUUUUUUUUCCCUCUCUCUUCUACAGUGACGUUCUGACCAUAAAUACAGUUGAUUCCUGGGGUAAGCCCAAAACCCUUUGCUUUCCUCUCUUCACACCGUUUCCCUCAUUGAACUUGUGAAAUUUUAAAGAUUACAAAUAUCACUAGCCAGUAAAAUAAUUCAGCUUUUCUAAAAUCAUCAUUCUAAAAAUUAUCCUCUCCUCCAGAAUUUCCCAUUUAGGUCAAAUAUUUCAUGGUCACUGAAGCUCAGAGUCUUGGAGCCAUAUCAGCAAGGCGGUGCUGGUUUUUCCUCUUGAUAAGGUUCACUGGGCUUAAAAGGAGCCAAAGCGCCGUACGGUUUUGGCAGAGGAAGAGUGGACUCUGCCUCUGGGAUGUAGGCAUUUGGACGCUGAUCCGCAGUUGUGUAAACACCACUGGGCAGCUGGCGAUUUUCUGCUUCCAAGAACUCCUGCAAAGAAUGAUUUAUCCUUUUCAGUUUUUGAAAACUCAGGUCACUGGUGAGCAAAUGGUACAAAGGAGGAGAUAAGGAGUAAAGUAGAACCAGUGGAGAGAAGUGGUCAGCAGCUUGCUUUGAGCCUCAAGAUUCUGCCUGUGUUUCUGGAAAACAGAGGAGUCUCUUAUAGCAUUAAAAAGAAUUUGAAAAAAUGGAGACAGCCAUUCAUCUAGAAUUAAAAAGCCCAAGGCUUAGCCUAUGUAUAUAUUCCAUGAAGACUUGAAGAAAAUGGCAGGCUUCUGGCUGUCUCUGAAGGUGGGCAUUCUUGCCUGAAGGAAGGAUAGUUUAAGUGGGAAUUCACAGAGAAUAAGAACUGGAGGAGACCUCAGAGAUUCAGCCCAACACCCUGGCUGUGAAAUAGGACAAGGAGGAGGGAGAAGAAAGAGAUCUGUUCAUCUAGUUACUGGAUUUCCAGGAAUGAGCUUAUCAGAUUCUUUAUGGUGGAGAAGAGAGCAGAGAGAAGAGGACACGCAGCAACUGAUGGGGAAGGAGUACCAUCCAGGGUUACAGGAAGGGUUAUCUUGGGGUGCUGAGUGCAUACUUGACUCAGAGCAGACUUAGAGUUGGAUCUUCACACCAAAAGCAAUCUGAUGUGGUUCAUUUCCUACUGUGACAGCACACACUUCUAGGCACCAGGAUUGAAUAUUGACUAAAAUUUGUCCCAGGAAGGGCAGAUCAUACUCUUUAGUGAUUUGAGGGUCACUAAACAGGAUCCCUCUGAAGUUUACGCUACUCUUUUAAAGUAGCUGAAGUGUGUUUUGGAUGUCCCACAAUCAGGAACCUGUGCAUUGGCAGUAGCAUCUUUUGUACCCACAGAUGCCCAACGACAUCCUGCUUUCCAUGGCCUCUCCUAGCGUGGAGAGCUAGCUGCUGAGAAGCAUGCACUGGACUUAGGAAGAUGAGACAUGGUCUUGUGAAAUCCAUGUAACAAUAUAUAGAACUUGUGAUUCUGAUGAGCAGAUAAUUGCUACAGCAGGUCAGAAAAUGGAGAGCUCAACGUAGAAUUGAAUAAUCAGGAAAGAUUUCAUGGAAAAGUUAAGAAGCCAGCGAGGAAGACUUUGAUUUCUCCUUCUGGAAAGUAGAGUUAAUUCUUCCUGGACAGAUUGGAGUCCAGCAAGCAUCUUGGUGUCUGACUAUUUCUCUGCCAUUGGUGUCCAGGAGUGGGCUACUCCAAAUGAUUUUGCUCCCAAGUGUAGGCAAAUCUAUACAUGUAUACUAAUGGGGACUAGAGGAGCUUAUAAGCUUUCUACAGAAGAUAUGAUGAGAGCACACUCAUCAACUACUCUGUCAACUAAAGGCUCCUGACAAAUUUUCCUGGAUUCAGGUCUCAGACAUUCAGGUUUCUUCCAGUGUUUCAAAUUACAAACAAUACUGCAGUGAAUGAUACUAAUUUUUGAACUCUGGCUAACUGCUUCUCUGACACAUUUCUCAACUCUCCACAAACCCACCCCUCUAGUUUCAGGAAGGAAUUAAGUAUGCUUGGUUUGUGGAAGAGGUAACAAGGUAAGCCAUUGGUAGCAGAGAGCCUGCUGGCUGCCUAGCUAAUAUCUACGCUCCACACUGACCUUACUAACAGAACCCCAAGUUUGUUCAGAGCUGCAAUGUAUCAAAAAAUCUUCAAACUCCUUUGCACUUGGGGGUGACGAGGUGAGCCAGGACAGGCCAAUAAAAUGUAAGUGGAAAUCUCCUGGAUAGGGCUCCUGGGAAAGUGACUGUUUUCCUGUUAAAAAGACAGAGUCCUCCAAGUCAUCUGCCAUAUGCAUCUUGCUCUCUGCCCUUCCCCACUUCUGUGUGAUUUUAUGCCCAAAGGCAGAAUGGCCAUUUUGUGACCUUGGAGAAAAAAUAUAUACAUGUUAAAGAUGACAGAAGAAAAAGCUAAGAGGAUCCUGGACUUUUCAUUAUGUGAAACUACCUGGUGUGUGCCUAUCUCUGGAUUUUUUAUUAUGUGAAUAAAACAACCCUCUAUUUACUUCA